GUGCUCACUUUGGCAGCACGUAAUCUAAAAUUGGAAUACAGAGAAGAUUAACAUGGCCCCUGCACAAGGAUGACACUCAAAUUUGUGAAGUAUUUAAUAUUUAC
rnacentral:snRNA from 1 species